rnacentral:sRNA from 2 species
UCGGCAUUUUCUAUCUUGUUGCGCCUUUCUGGGCAUGUUUGAAAUGGUGUCCUACCUUCAUGGAAAUUAAACAUCCAAUGCUGCAUAACUACCUAGAACUCAUGUCGGAAUGAUUUAGUUUUCUAUUCUCCCUUUCGUUGGCUAUCUUGAACUUCGGGUGACCCUCAAGAGUUUUGUUUUUCCUUGAGGAGUUAUAAGCUGCGGACUUUUCUUCCUCGCUGUCACGAAUUUCCGACGGCAGUUCAAUAUGCGAGCCAGCUUCAUAUGCAUAAUCCUCUACUCGAUAAGCCUCACGGGGCCCGCGUGCGUUGGUGGGAUUCAAAUUUUUGCAAGACAAAAUGUUGAUGCCCUAGAACCAACUAAAAUCACACCCACAGUGACAUUAUCGCCAACAGAUGCUGCAACAAACUCCUCCCCCGGUACUCAAUCGACGUCUAAACCAGAUCCAACCGCUACAAGCAAGAGCGGAAAUGAUACAACUUCUACCGAAAGUCCUCGUCCCACAGAUCUUUCCUUUCUUAACGGGACCGAGCCCGACCCUAACCUCCUUCCUCUCCUCCCGAGAAUAACUCCAGGGUUAUCCGUUGCCGGUGUUGUGCUUAUCAUAGCAGGAGGGAUUUAUGCGCUGGUUGGGAUCAGAAAAAUAUGGAUUCAAAUAUUUUUUUCUGUGGGGUUUUCAUCCGCGCUCGCUGUUACAAUUCUCAUUAUUUAUCUCAUGAAUCCCCC